rnacentral:rRNA from 1 species
AGUGAACGCUGGCGGUAGGCCUAACACAUGCAAGUCGAACGGCAGCACAGUAAGAGCUUGCUCUUACGGGUGGCGAGUGGCGGACGGCUGAGGAAUACAUCGGAAUCUACUUUUUCGUGGGGGAUAACGUAGGGAAACUUACGCUAAUACCGCAUACGACCUACGGGUGAAAGCAGGGGAUCUUCGGACCUUGCGCGAUUGAAUGAGCCGAUGUCGGAUUAGCUAGUUGGCGGGGUAAAGGCCCACCAAGGCGACGAUCCGUAGCUGGUCUGAGAGGAUGAUCAGCCACACUGGAACUGAGACACGGUCCAGACUCCUACGGGAGGCAGCAGUGGGGAAUAUUGGACAAAGGGCGCAAGCCUGAUCCAGCCAUACCGCGUGGGUGAAGAAGGCCUUCGGGUUGUAAAGCCCUUUUGUUGGGAAAGAAAAGCAGCAGGUUAAUACCCCGCUGUUCUGACGGUACCCAAAGAAUAAGCACCGGCUAACUUCGUG